GGUGUGCACCCUAAAGCACAAACACACACGUCGUGUAUAUAUGUGUGUAUAUAUAUAUAUAUAUAUAUAUAUAUAUAUAUAUAUAUACACAUACUGCUGUGUGUGUGUGUGAGGGUGCUGUUA